AUGUUUUUAAAGCUUUAGUGAACGUGGAACACAUCACCUGAGAUAACAACCCCGCAGCCGAUUCAAUCCAACACCUCAAACUACUGCAGGAAGCACGUCAUAUACCGUUUCGUGAAACGAUAAUUUUUUCGACGAAAAAAACAAUUUCCAUCUCCUGUUCCGACUUUUUUUUCAAAUCUCCUCUCAAUCGCGCAAUCUCCACGAAGUGUAGAUCCAAAGGCUCGUGAGCCGCACAGUCGAGGAACAGACAGAGAAUACUUUUGUAAUCCGAGUAGAAUCAAGUUUGUUCUCAGUCUGAUCGAAGUCGUAGCGAAGUGCGGGCGUGUCUCGUUUAACACCCCCUACCCUAAAGGUGGAAAGUGUCUCCCGAGCUUGGGAGAAAUAAUGGCGAGUGAUGAAAGAGAAAUUAAAAAAAAGAGAUAAUGCUCGAAUCGAAUCCACAGGAUUGUUUUUACCUUCGUCGAGUCUGCGGUCGAUCUAUCUCCGAAAUUAUCGCAUUGUCCUUUUCACGGUGAGAGUCGGAGAAUUGGAUGUACUUUCUGAUCUUAUACGUAACUUCGAUGGUGAUAAUUUCGCGAAGAUUUAAAUUCGGGUAUUAAUCUCAGGGUCCAAAAAUUGGAUAAAAUCUCACGUGAAAUAUGGAGUUCGAAGAGCUGGAGAUAAUAUCGUUACGUUAAAAGUAACCAGCUGGCAUUUUGCGCGCGUAUUAAAAAGAGAAAAGUAAAAUGCGGAAGAAAAGGAGUAGAAAAAAAAAAAAGCACAUGUAUAAAAAGAAGAAGGAGAAGAAGGAUGGAAUAUAAAGGGGGCUGGAACAAGGAUAAGGAAGAAAAGAUAAGAAAUAUGCUGACUUCCAAAAGACAAAGUUUCCCAUCUAAACGAAGCGACGUUACCAACCCGUUCUUGGUCGAGCCCGUUUGGAAAAUGUAGCAGCAGUAGCAGCAGCUUAGAAAAGACUGACAAAAUGUGCCGGCACUUAAUACCGACCUUGAAGUAGUGGAAGAGCUUAUUUAAUUUUCUUGGUGAAAAUUCCCGGUGAUAUCUCACCUCUUAAAAACGUGACCGAAAUGAGGAAGGAAGAAAAAGAAAUAAAAUGAAAUGAAAAUACCAGGAUAAAUUUAUCCCGACAUUUUUCACUAUAUAAAAUAAUAUAUGAUUUCGAAGAGUUUUUUUUCCCCGAGGGUGAACCGACUUUGAGAAUCGCUCACACGUAGGUACAUCGGAAUAUCCGGCAGACGUUUCGCCUUACUUAUUUCCCAUUAACCGGCUUCGUCGAUGGUAACGACAGCAAUGGCAACGGUACGUUCAAUUCCGGAGGCUGAAGUGUUCUCGAAUUAGGUAAAAAGGUAAAAGAAGGGAAACUAGAAACAAAAAAGGAAGAAAAAAAAAAAAAAAGGUGAAACAGAAGCUAUUUCCGAUAAAGUAAAUACGGCAAAUAAAUAUUUUCCAGUUCACGUGGAUAUAUCCCCCGAGCUUCCAGUGUAUAGCGGCAACACCUCAAGGAUAACUCGAAGCUGCGUCUUCUUUCCGCGGUUUUUUUUUUUUUUUUUUUUUCUUUUUUUUUCUCCUCUUCGACGAGACGUCGAGUAAAGAGGAUUGGAUUUCUUUUACGUCGAUAGGAUGAGCAAUUUAGGUUGGGUAAGGUUGGCUCGGAUAAGUUUCGAUACGUAUCCAGCAAAUUCAAGUAGGUAUACCGUACGCCGUACGAAACGCACUAUCUCAUGAAAUAUAAUAAGAAUAUGUAAAGAGAAUGGAGGACAAAAAAAAAAUGUCAAUUUCUACGGAUGUCCCUGAGGAGGUUAAGGUCACACGACGACGAGAAGAUUCUUCCUCUUUUUGUGGACGAGAAGAGAGAGAACAAGGGAGAGGAGAAAAUGUUGAUUGAACGUCGACGUUGUUUUUUCUUCGUCAUUCCGAUUCUCCUCGAGUGUCUCUCGCGAACAUCAUCGUAUACGUAUGUUUUAUCCCAAAUUAUUGUUGUUGUUGUUGUUGUCGUUGUUCGGGGGAGAAAAAUCUUGCCUUGUCAUAAUCCCUAUGCUCGUUACGAUUCCAUGCAACCGACAAACGUCGCGUAUCCUAGACUCGAAAGUCUGCUGGGAAAUCAAACGACUACCGUGCAACAGGGUGCUGCGACACGAAGGGAAAAAAAAUAGAGGGAAAAGAGAAAAGUAAUGGAGAAAGAAGAACAUCGUGUAACGAAGAAAACUUACACGAAUAUUAAAGUUCUGUGAUUCACACUCGGAGAUUCACGGAGAACUGAAUCACGGGAAUUCGUAUAAUUAAAUCGAAGGGGAGAUUCUAGGUGAAAAAUUAUAGUCGUCCAAUUCGCUGUAUCCUAAUGUUAUAUUCUAACUUGGGAAACACGAAUCCGUCGACUGAAUUAAGCCACGACCAACACCGAUGGAGAUAUCUCCAGUUUUUUUGCUUUAAAAAGCAAAAAAUAAAUCUCCUCGCACUAACUUCACUGUUAGUUUUCACUAGUUUUCAAUUAGUAGGACCUAAUAGUUUCAAUAUUUAUUCGAGUGAACAAACGAGAAAUCGAUCAACUCGACGCCAUAACUUAGGGUGACGUAAUACGAUAACUAACCAGGAAUUUUAUACAAGUUGUUUUUAUAAUUCUUAUUUUGGAUCGUUAAACUUGUCGAUGCCGCUGCAGGAGGGGCUGACUGUGCACUAAUAAUUGCGGUAGAGCUUUUCUACCUUUUCAUUAGAAAUUCUAAUCAUGGCGUAAUUCGCCCAUUAACAGUUGGGGGUUUUCUACCGGUUGUACCCUAAUAAGAUUUUACUUGGUAAGUCGUUCGUUUCUCUCCAAGUUGCCGAUCAACUGUUGCGUAACGUAAUUUUACGGAUAACGAAUAUAUUAGCAAAUUUCA